rnacentral:lncRNA from 1 species
UAAAAAUAUAGAAACGAGGACAAAAAUAUAAUUUUGUGAAUGCAAUUUCGGUACAUUGCAUGUUGAAACAAGAAGAUGAUUCAAAAUUUGCUGUUGUAUAAUUCUCCACUUACGUUUAAAUAACAAAUUAUAAACCGAUAUCAGAAGAGAUCAAAUGUAGUUAAACGCUCGACAACACAAGCGUUUAUCGGUUACGAUUUUUCAACAUGUCUACAUCGUUAAACUGCAUGUAAGAAUUUCAAAAGAUGCACAGAAUAUUAAUUGUGUGCUAUUAUUUGGUAGCUAUUGUUGCAAAUGAAGACUUUCUGUUGGAAAAAUUUCCUGACGAUUUUGGAUGGGGAGUAUGUAGUUCAGCAUACCAAACUGAGGGAGCAUGGAACGAACACGGUAAUACUUUCUAGAAUUUAUUUGUCAAAUCAAAUAUAAGUUGUUAAUUUCUGUGUUAUUUGGUCUCUUGUGGAGAGUUGUCUCAUUGGCAAUCAUACUACAUCUUUAUUUUUUUUUUAUAUAAGUAAGGUCCACAUGUACUCAGGAUGCAGACAAACUCAUUAAAACCAAC